CAUGUCCCUUCAGUGUCCCCAUCCCCUGUCCCUUCAGUGUCCCCAUCUCUGGGGACACAACCCUGUCCCUUCAGUGUCCCCAUCCCCUUGGGGACAAUCCUGUCCCUUCAGUGUCCCCAUCCCCAGGGACACAACCCUACAACCCUGUCCCUUCAGUGUCCCCAUCCCCUGUCCCUUCAGUGUCCCCAUCCCCUGUCCCUUCCGUGUCCCCAUCCCCGGGGACACCCCGAGCUCGGCUGCGCUGGGGUUGAGCUCAGCUCAGCAAAACCCCCCCGAGGGGUUUAGGGUGGCGGCAUCCAGCAGGAAAAAAUCCCAAACUGUGGUGGAAGCUGGGUCAGCACUUAGGGAAGUGAUUUCUGUUGUCACCUUUCUCCAUGUCGGGUUUGGCUUUGGGAAUGUGCCUGGUGGAAAGGGGGUGGCUCCCGCGGACGUCUAUAAUUUGCACACAGCGACAAUAACACUAAAGUUGAUUUUAUACGAGUCAUCAGAGUUUGCAAAGUGAGUUUUAUUUUUUGUAUUCCUUUAUCUUUACUUAAAGGUGAAUGUGUAUUCCUCUGGGAGGAAUAGGAAGAAAAAAAAAACAAAAAAGAAAAAUACAUUAAAAAAACCAGGAAUGUUAAUAAUGUUAAACAGAAUACUUCCUCCCUUAUUAAUAUAUAUAACCCUGAUGUAUUUAUGCCUAUUGUAAGCUGACUUUAAAGAGCUUUGACCUCUCUUCUGUUGCAUGCCGUUCCCGGGCAGCCUCUCCUUGUCCAUGCAUGCCUUUUGUCCUGGUUUUUCUGUACAAAGUUAGUGCACAAAAGAACUAUUUUUGCCUAGUUAAUGUUGCCGAGCAAUGCCUAUUUUUUAAAUUUUAAUUUCUUUUUUUGUUGUUUUUUUGGUCAUAUACGGCAAUAGCAUGUUUGUUACAUGUAAAAGCUUCCAGAUAUAAAGAAUUACUAAUGUUUGGAGAUGCCAGUCUUUGCAAGUGUACAGUUUUCCAAUGUUGUUCCCAGUGAAACACCCUCGUGAUUUCCACUUGCUCCCAUGUAUUUAUUACUCAUUUCCUCCCGUGUAACUAGGAACCAUGGCUAUAUUUCAUAUCUGCUCUAUAUUGAAAGUGAAGGGAGAUGAUUAAUACAAGGUUUUGUAACA